GCCGUUGACAGAGUGCAGGCGGGAAGCUUCAGUUUGGGUAGAGAUGUAGCAUCAAACAUUCACGGAUGUCCAGGGAGCGCGGGCACACAGGCUGCUGGCCAGAGCAUACUGGAGCCUAUGAACACAAUACACUAGUCAUGUUGGAGAUAACAGCCUGACCUGAGUGUGGCUGCAAAAUGAAGCCAUGUUUGGCUUUCCUAAGACAUCAGGCUCACAGCUCUGCUGGACUCUUUAAACCCCG
rnacentral:lncRNA from 1 species